rnacentral:rRNA from 1 species
UACGUAGGGUGCAAGCGUUAUCCGGAUUCACUGGGUUUAAAGGGUGCGUAGGUGGGUUGGUAAGUCAGUGGUGAAAUCUCCGAGCUUAACUUGGAAACUGCCAUUGAUACUAUCAGUCUUGAAUAUUGUGGAGGUCAGCGGAAUAUGUCAUGUAGCGGUGAAAUGCUUAGAUAUGACAUAGAACACCAAUUGCGAAGGCAGCUGGCUACACAUAUAUUGACACUGAGGCACGAAAGCGUGGGGAUCAAACAGG